AUGAUAUUCGGCCAUGGGUGUUGCCUUUUUGGUUGGUGUUUGAUGUUGUGGUGAUGAGGCAUGAAGAUGAGCUAAGUUUCGGCUAAGGUGGACUUGUGUUGAUGUCAUUUGCAUGCUAAGUGUGAAGCUUUGUAAUGAUACAUGUGAUGGUGAUUGAUGACUCUUGGAUUUUCUUUUUAGCAUUUUUGAGUUAGACAUUAAGUUCUUUGUUUAACCCAUGACCAAAAUUGAAAUGGUAUGGUGUCUUGAUGCAUUCGGCCAUGGUAGGAAGUAGAUGAGAAUUGG
rnacentral:lncRNA from 1 species